CCUCCUUUUCAAUUUCCACUCUCCCCCAUUCUUUUGUUUUGACCUUACAAAAACAAAAUUUGUUUAAGCUCCAUGUCUAAUAUAGUAAUUUAAUAUAGACAGUGGAAUUGACUUUUAUACAUUCACUUUUACCGUGUAUGUUUGGUACUAAACACUAAACACAUGCUAUUUUUGGUAGGUGAAAAAAUCUGGAUCCUUGUUCGACAAUGUGUUGGCUGAGGGAGAAGCAGAAGAUGAUGACAAUGAAGGAGAUGACUCAGACAACGAAUCAAAGUCUGAGGAAACCAAGGAAUCCGAGGAAACCGAUGCUGCCCAUGACGAGCAUUAAGCGAAGAAUGUGGAGAAUUAAAGAGUCCUCAAGUGUCUUAUUUGUUCUUUACCUUUUCUUUCAAAUAAAUUGUUUUAGCUCUAGUUUGGUUGUGAUGUAGAACUUUUUAGCUAUCAUGGUGAUAUAUGGUUGUGGCAGCUUUAUUAGACUUGAGAAAAUCCUUUCUGAUUCUCUUCA